GACGAACGCUGGCGGCGUGCUUAACACAUGCAAGUCGUACGGUAAGGCCCUUUCGGGGGUCCACGAGUGGCGAACGGGUGAGUAACACGUGAGUAACCUGCCCACAACUUUGGGAUAACGCUAGGAAACUGGUGCUAAUACUGGAUAUGUGCUCCUGCUGCAUGGUGGGGGUUGGAAAGCUCCGGCGGUUGUGGAUGGACUCGCGGCCUAUCAGCUUGUUGGUGGGGUAGUGGCCUACCAAGGCGGCGACGGGUAGCCGGCCUGAGAGGGUGACCGGCCACAUUGGGACUGAGAUACGGCCCAGACUCCUACGGGAGGCAGCAGUGGGGAAAAUUGCACAAUGGGCGCAAGCCUGAUGCAGCAACGCCGCGGGCGGGAUGACGGCCUUCGGGUUGUAAACCGCUUUCAGCAGGGACGAGGCUUUUUGUGACGGUACCUGCAGAAGAAGCACCGGCUAACUACGUG
rnacentral:rRNA from 1 species